GAUGAAGAACGUAGUGAAAUGCGAUAAGUAAUGUGAAUUGCAGAAUUCAGUGAAUCAUCGAAUCUUUGAACGCACAUUGCGCCCCCUGGUAUUCCGGGGGGCAUGCCUGUUCGAGCGUCAUUUCAACCCUCAAGCUCUGCUUGGUAUUGGGCGUCGCCGGGGAGUCUCCCCGGCGUGCCUCAAAGCCAUCGGCGGUGGUGCCUUUCUCUAAGCGUGGUAGAAUUUUUAUUCGCUUCUGAGUUGGGCUUCGCCUGCCGGACAAACCGGGCCCUCGCAGCCCACCUUCUCAGGUUGACCUCGGAUCAGGUAGGGAUACCCGCUGAACUUAAGCAUAUCAAUAAGCGGAGGA
rnacentral:misc_RNA from 1 species